rnacentral:rRNA from 1 species
CGAAGGGGGCUAGCGUUGUUCGGAAUUACUGGGCGUAAAGGGCGCGCAGGCGGCUCUUCAAGUCAGAUGUGAAAGCCCCGGGCUCAACCUGGGAACUGCAUUUGAGACUGGAGAGCUUGAGUUCGGGAGAGGAUGGUGGAAUUCCCAGUGUAGAGGUGAAAUUCGUAGAUAUUGGGAAGAACACCGGUGGCGAAGGCGGCCAUCUGGACCGAUACUGACGCUGAGGCGCGAAAGCGUGGGGAGCAAACAGGAUUAGAUACCCUGGUAGUCCACGCCGUAAACGAUGUGCGCUAGACGUUGGGGGGCGUAGCCUCUCGGUGUCGCAGCUAACGCGGUAAGCGCACCGCCUGGGGAGUACGGCCGCAAGGUUA